rnacentral:lncRNA from 7 species
GGCUACUCUAGCCUUGCCACUAGGACUCAGUUAUCCAAACAAGUUGAUCUUUACUCCUAGCACAGCUUUGAGCCAGAACCAUCUACCCUCUACAGCUAACCUGUACGGAAAGCUACAACUUCAGCUGCAGCACAGAACUGUGGAUAUACUGGGAAAUGAGGACAUGGAGUUUUCCAGACUGCUGAAAACAACUCAGCUUCUGAAGAAAAGCAAUUAUUAUUGCUUUUGGAUUACUCCUUUCUUGGGAGACAUAGUGCCCUGCCACUGUAUCUGGUAUUGCGCAGAAAUCUAUUGGGGGAUGUAUUGCUGGGACAUAUGACUUGGAGCAGUGCGUUACGACGAUGAGCAAGACCUUGCUUUUGGCCCCUCUUUUAUGAUGCAUCUCUCAGAUCCUCAAUAUGAUGUUACGUGAUCCUGCAGAAACCAUAUGGUACGAACUCCUACACGCUGGCAAAGCAUUUGGGCUUUAACAUGAGUGCCAUGCGUUUUUUCUUUUUUGCCAGUGCUUUAUACUUCUAGAAAGGACUGCAAAGUUGAUGUUACACAAAGGGAGCACAGUGUAUUUUGAUUCAUUCUUAGAGGUGGCUUAAGGGCAGCUUGGGGUGUGAAGGUGAGGUUAAAGGUGACUUCAAGCCACGCUUACACACCACUACUCCUCAUGCAGUUUCUGCCAGAUCGUGCCCUUGAUCUCUUCCUUUCCCUUAUUGCCAUGUUUUGCCAUUUUUAAGCUGCUUCUGUGUGUUGCACUCCAGGUCUCAGGUGGGCCACAGGACACAGGGAAGGGUGAAGUGCACAGUGCACUCCUGCAAAGUAGGUGUCUAUUAUGUGGAGACUUGUGAUUAUGGGAGAAAUGGAUUCAGUGCCCCAAAUGAUUCCUCCUAGUGCUAUGUUCCCAGGAAACUCAGCAAUAUUUAGAGUAGCCUGAAGGCUAUUUUAAGGUAUGCCAGCUGCUAAACACAGCAGGGAUUCAUCAGGGUAAUAAAGGACAUUUUAGACCAAGUCCUGACUUAUACUCUCUGCAGAGAGUGUGAUAAAAAGAAAUUGCUAGGAAAGCUCUGCUCAAUCUGAGAAUGCACCUGUUUUGGGAUAAGCCUUCCAGGGCUGAGUUUAGGCUGAGGAUAGAUUUAAACUGGAGGAAUGGUGACAAUCGGCACUAAUGCAAAUAGACUGUGUAAAGGGAAUAACAAGAGCGGAAAUAUUUAAGGUUAAAGAUUGAUAUUUGCAACCUGGCUGUCUGGAGGCUGGGCCUCGUGGCAUUUGAUUUUUUUAUUUUUUUUCCCCCAUUCAUUAAACCAAUAACUCAUUUGCAGUCCCCG